rnacentral:rRNA from 1 species
UACGGGGGGAGCAAGCGUUGUUCGGAUUUACUGGGCGUAAAGGGCGGGUAGGCGGCCACCGCAAGUCGACUGUGAAAUCUCCGGGCUUAACCCGGAAAGGUCAGCCGAUACUGCGGGGCUAGAGUGCAGAAGGGGCAACUGGAAUUCUCGGUGUAGCGGUGAAAUGCGUAGAUAUCGAGGGGAACACCUGCGGCGAAGGCGGGUUGCUGGGCUGACACUGACGCUGAACUGCGAAAGCUAGGGGAGCGAACGGG